rnacentral:rRNA from 1 species
UACGUAGGGUGCAAGCGUUGUCCGGAAUUAUUGGGCGUAAAGAGCUCGUAGGCGGUCUGUCGCGUCUGCUGUGAAAACUCGGGGCUUAACCCCGGGCCUGCAGUGGGUACGGGCAGACUAGAGUGCGGUAGGGGAGACUGGAAUUCCUGGUGUAGCGGUGAAAUGCGCAGAUAUCAGGAAGAACACCUAUGGCGAAGGCAGCUCUCUGGGACGGUACUGACGCUGAGACGCGAAAGCGUGGGGAGCGAACAGG